rnacentral:rRNA from 1 species
AAAUUGAAGAGUUUGAUCAUGGCUCAGAUUGAACGCUGGCGGCAGGCCUAACACAUGCAAGUCGAACGGUAACAGGAAACAGCUUGCUGUUUCGCUGACGAGUGGCGGACGGGUGAGUAAUGUCUGGGAAACUGCCUGAUGGAGGGGGAUAACUACUGGAAACGGUAGCUAAUACCGCAUAACGUCGCAAGACCAAAGAGGGGGACCUUCGGGCCUCUUGCCAUCGGAUGUGCCCAGAUGGGAUUAGCUAGUAGGUGGGGUAACGGCUCACCUAGGCGACGAUCCCUAGCUGGUCUGAGAGGAUGACCAGCCACACUGGAACUGAGACACGGUCCAGACUCCUACGGGAGGCAGCAGUGGGGAAUAUUGCACAAUGGGCGCAAGCCUGAUGCAGCCAUGCCGCGUGUAUGAAGAAGGCCUUCGGGUUGUAAAGUACUUUCAGCGGGGAGGAAGGGAGUAAAGUUAAUACCUUUGCUCAUUGACGUUACCCGCAGAAGAAGCACCGGCUAACUCCGUGCCAGCAGCCGCGGUAAUACGGAGGGUGCAAGCGUUAAUCGGAAUUACUGGGCGUAAAGCGCACGCAGGCGGUUUGUUAAGUCAAAUGUGAAAUCCCCGGGCUCAACCUGGGAACUGCAUCUGAUACUGGCAAGCUUGAGUCUCGUAGAGGGGGGUAGAAUUCCAGGUGUAGCGGUGAAAUGCGUAGAGAUCUGGAGGAAUACCGGUGGCGAAGGCGGCCCCCUGGACGAAGACUGACGCUCAGGUGCGAAAGCGUGGGGAGCAAACAGGAUUAGAUACCCUGGUAGUCCACGCCGUAAACGAUGUCGACUUGGAGGUUGUGCCCUUGAGGCGUGGCUUCCGGAGCUAACGCGUUAAGUCGACCGCCUGGGGAGUACGGCCGCAAGGUUAAAACUCAAAUGAAUUGACGGGGGCCCGCACAAGCGGUGGAGCAUGUGGUUUAAUUCGAUGCAACGCGAAGAACCUUACCUGGUCUUGACAUCCACGGAAGUUUUCAGAGAUGAGAAUGUGCCUUCGGGAACCGUGAGACAGGUGCUGCAUGGCUGUCGUCAGCUCGUGUUGUGAAAUGUUGGGUUAAGUCCCGCAACGAGCGCAACCCUUAUCCUUUGUUGCCAGCGGUCCGGCCGGGAACUCAAAGGAGACUGCCAGUGAUAAACUGGAGGAAGGUGGGGAUGACGUCAAGUCAUCAUGGCCCUUACGACCAGGGCUACACACGUGCUACAAUGGCGCAUACAAAGAGAAGCGACCUCGCGAGAGCAAGCGGACCUCAUAAAGUGCGUCGUAGUCCGGAUUGGAGUCUGCAACUCGACUCCAUGAAGUCGGAAUCGCUAGUAAUCGUGGAUCAGAAUGCCACGGUGAAUACGUUCCCGGGCCUUGUACACACCGCCCGUCACACCAUGGGAGUGGGUUGCAAAAGAAGUAGGUAGCUUAACCUUCGGGAGGGCGCUUACCACUUUGUGAUUCAUGACUGGGGUGAAGUCGUAACAAGGUAACCGUAGGGGAACCUGCGGUUGGAUCACCUCCUUA